GAAAAAAGUUAUUUGUUAAAUUUUUUAUGCCAGAUAACCUACACUGACACUGGGACUGGAUGUCAUUUUUCAAAGAAUUUUGGAUUUAAAAAAAGAAAGAAAGAAAGAAGUGGCUUUUUGCUUUUGACACUUGACAUAGACUUUAGUUGUAGAAUUUGAACAUCAUGUCUCAUUGAAGUGCGUGCGGGACUGUGAUUCUCAAAGGAGCAGAAUGCAGCACGGAUAUGGGUCUACCAGAUGGCUAUACCACUCACUGACACACAUUAGGAAUAUGCAAAGAAGUGAAAGAAGGGCAAGUUAGUAUUUUUACUAUUCUUAGGAAUAGGAAAA
rnacentral:misc_RNA from 1 species